rnacentral:misc_RNA from 1 species
AGAAGGCCGAGCUAGAUGAGAAUGCUACUGCUGAAGCUGAUGGAGAAUUCUCUGAGAAACCCAAGAAAAAGAAAAAGAAAACUGGAGCAGAAACAGAAGCUAUAGAGCAAGAAACAGGAGUCGAAGAUGAAGGUACGAAGAAAGAAAAGAAAAAGAAGAGAAAGCAGGCUGAGGGAGAUGUUCUGAUGGCUGAUGUUGAGGAACAACCAGCCGAGACUUCAGCCAAGAAGGUAAAG